rnacentral:pre_miRNA from 1 species
AAUAGUUUUAUGCCACAUAAGCAUUUUCAUCUUGAAUUUUAGUAUUUUUCAUCUUGAAAAAAAUCAAAUCCAAAUUAAAAUCCUGAAAUUCAGGAUGAAAUCACUGAUGCGUAAAACUAUU